rnacentral:rRNA from 1 species
UACGUAGGGUGCAAGCGUUGUCCGGAAUUAUUGGGCGUAAAGGGCUCGUAGGCGGUCCAUCGCGUCGGGAGUGAAAAGCUGGGGCUUAACCCCAGUCCUGCUUCCGAUACGGGUGGACUAGAGGUAGGUAGGGGAGAACGGAAUUCCUGGUGUAGCGGUGAAAUGCGUUGAUAUCAUCAGGAACACCGGUGGCGAAAGCGGCUUACUGGGUCUCUUCUGACGCUGAGGAACGAAAGCUAGGGUAGCGAACGGG